UUUUUUUUUGGUGGGGGUAAUUAACAUUGGAUUUCAAAAUAAUUGAGAAUAUUCCACAACUCAUAUCAUAUAUGCAUGUCUUGUGGCCGUGGUAACUGGUAAGUAGGAAGAAUAAUCAUUGAUUGGACGAGGUCCCUCUGUAAACAGCUCGACAAUGCCUAGAGUCUGUACAUGCAUCAAUUAUUGGCCGUACACGUGGCACAAACCAACGGCCCAAAUAUGGUUCUAAGACCCCUGUUAUCUUACGCCCAUUACAACCCCAGAGUGGCCUUCUUUUUCUGAAAGAUUCUCCUACGCAUGGACUUCUCUUUCUUUUCCUCUUUAUAAACCCAAAAUGUUAUUCAACCCCAUUGAGAUUUGAGAGGCAGAGAGAGUUUUCUCUUUUCACUGAAGAAGGAUCCUAGAAAAAGAAAGAAAACACACAUAAGAGUUUCAGAUUCGACUACAAUGGAGAUGUUUAGAGUUCAAUUUUUAGUAAUGGCUAUUCUUGCAAUUAUUUUGGCAUUGGCUGUACUUUCCAUCAAUGCACAGAGCCUUGCACCUGCGCCUGGCCCUUCAAGUGAUGCAGGGGUAGCAAUUGACCAAGGAAUUGCCUACACGCUGAUGGUGCUUGCUCUGUUACUUACCUAUAUGAUUCACUGACAUCUUCAAUAGAGCUGGAUAGAGUGAUAGACACAAAGAGAGACAAAUGGAGA